GAUGAACGCUGGCGGCGUGCUUAACACAUGCAAGUCGAACGAAGCACUCCGGAAUGCGCCUUCGGGCAAGUGAAGGAGUGACUUAGUGGCGGACGGGUGAGUAACGCGUGGGUAACCUGCCUCGUACAGGGGGAUAACAGUUAGAAAUGACUGCUAAUACCGCAUAUGCACACAGUACCGCAUGGUACAGGGUGGAAAGAUUUAUCGGUACGAGAUGGACCCGCGUUGGAUUAGCUAGUUGGCAGGGUAACGGCCUACCAAGGCGACGAUCCAUAGCCGGCCUGAGAGGGUGAACGGCCACAUUGGGACUGAGACACGGCCCAA
rnacentral:rRNA from 1 species